ensembl:snoRNA SNORD24 Small nucleolar RNA SNORD24
UGCCACAGUGAUGACAUUAUAUUUGCUACUCUUGACAAUAAGAAUGAUGAUCAAGAUAACCACCGUUAAUUAACUGAGGCA